rnacentral:lncRNA from 1 species
UGGGAUGUCACCAGAGCACUGCACCAUUGUUGGGGAGUGUGGGCAAUAUUGCUAUGGCUGCUGUGGGUCAUCUGUGAGUGCUGCUGAUUUUUUCCCCUUUUUUUCUAUCAAUUUUGCUGCUGAGAGGGCAGGUGAUCGUGGUUACACUACACCACUGCUUUUUUCCUGAAGGUACACAGGGGUACACAUACCCUUAAACAUUUUGUGAAUCUAAGUUUGGCCUCAUUGAGGGGCAGUAUUUCAAUAUGAGUAGGAAAAUGAGAGUACCCCUAAACAUUUUUUAGGGGGGGAAACCCACUGUACUACACCAAUGUUAUGCUGGCAUAAAGGUAAAGGUACCCCUGCCCGUACGGGCCAGUCAUGACCGACUCUGGGGUUGUGCACCCAUCUCGCUUAAGAGGCCAGGGGCCAGCGCUGUCCGAAGACACUUCCGGGUCACGUGGCCAGCGUGACGAAGCUGCUCCGGCGAACCGGCACCAGCACAGCGCACGGAAACACCGUUUACCUUCCCGCUAUAAAGCGGUACCUAUUUAUCUACUUGCACUUAGGGGUGCUUUCGAACUGCUAGGUGGGCAGGAGCUGGGACCGAAAGACGGGAGCUCACCCCACCGCGGGGAUUCGAACCGCCGACCUUAUGAUCGGCAAGUCCUAGGCGCUGAGGUUUUACCCACAGCGCCACCCGCGUCCCUUAUGCUGGCAUAAGUCGCCAUAAAACAUUAGUGGACUACAAGAUCAGGCUGCUCAGGGCUGAAACCCUAAAGGAAGGCUGAACUGAAAGAAGUGUGAGGUCAAAUAUAGUCCUGAACUUUUUGCUUGCAAUGGUUUGGCGUUCUGUUGGCAUUCACAGCUGCCUUCAGCCCUGGCUACUCUCUCCUGUUUUCCCCAUCUCCUGACCUACAGCCAGUGCUCUUUAGGUGUUGGCCCAAAGAUGGCACUAAAUGCUUUAUCUCAGAAAUUAAUACCAGCUGACACACCUUUCUGAUUAACCUUAAUGCAUUGAUCCCUGUUUCAGGAAAUAAAACACUGAGGCCUGCUUGCAGGGUAAUAUAAAAUGUGAUAUCUUUAUUCAUUUAGGGUCCUGGAUUUAAAAUUUCAGACAUUUUAAAUGGUCACCAAACACUGUAAAACAAGUCAUAUUGCAUCAAAUUAAGUACCAAAAGGGAAGAAGGUGGUUUGUAUUUGCUGUGUUGUACAGGACAACACAUUCACCACAAGAGGGAAGCAGAGAUUCAAAUUUACACUGCCACCCUUUCUCGUCUUCCCUUUUUCUUUCAGCUGCUGGAUAAGCACCUCAAGGAGAUUGUGAUUUGCAGAACAGCCUGGGAUCUUGCAAUGCAGGGGAUGGGCUCUCGCACCUCCAACGUUUCUCCGAUGAAAAUAGGGCCAUCCUAAGGAAAAGCAGGCCAAAAUCCAAAAGCAAUGAGCUGUGAGAGCGGGAGUUGGCAGGUUCUGCAGUGAUCACCUGUCCUAGGCAGGAAGCACUGGAUGGGAAAGCUUGCAUAGAGGAAUCAAGAGCUGUUGGAGCAAGAUGACAGGAUGCAUCUGCUGGAAGAGACAAAUGCCAGCAAGGCCAUAAGGCUGUGGACUUGGGAAACAGCCACACCACACUGGGGUGGAAUCAACCCUCCAGCAACGUACAGAGAAAGGAAAGCUGGCAGAUGAGAGGGCAAGAGAGCGCAUGGACAGAGACUGAAAGAAGGGGAAGCCAAGAGAACAGACUCAAACUCCCAGAAGUGGGGAAACCUAGUGGAGGAGAACUGAAGCAGAAGACAGCUGGGCUUGUGCUGACAGUAACUACUGAAGAAAGGAGGGGAGGACAAGAAGAUAUCUGGACCAGAGAGGCACCACAGUCUCUCUGGAGGAAAGUAGCCCAGUUGUAUGAUAUAGGCAAUCAUUUGACCUGGGGCUUCAGGUAAAUCACCAAGCCAUGACUUGGGGAGAAGGUUCUGUGCAUGGCACGAAUGGAGUGUGUCACGGUCCGGUUCACGGGCGAUCGAAGUCCCAGCUGGGGACGUCAGGACCGGGGGCAAGAUGACAGGGUGGGAGCAGGAACAGGAGUCCAGAAGCCAGGAGUCCGAAAGCCAAGAGUCCGAGGGUCAGAGAGCCAGGAGUCAAGAAGCCAAGGGUCCGAGGGUCAGGAAGCAAGGAGUCAUGAAGUCAGGGGUCCGAGGAUCAAGAAGCAAGGAGUCAAACACAGCAAGGCAAGAAACGUGUUGCUGUGGCAAAGAGCCAAAGAGAAAAUGCUGACCUUAGAUCUCUUCCUGGCUCUUGCCACCAGGUGCUGUGAGUUACCAAUCAACCUCACCUGUGUGGCCGUGCCUUGCCUCUUCAGAACAAACUUAGGAAAGCCCCAGUCCUGCAGAGUCCUCUUGGUCACAGGGCCUGGCUCCUGCACACACACCUGACAGAGUGGGCCUGUAAUUGUAAGCAAGAAACCAAGCAAGGGCAUUUUAUGCAAUGUUCUAGAUUGCAGUGGGCAGCAUGUGGCCCUCCUGAUGUUGCUAGACCCCAACUCCCAUCAUCCUUGACCACCGGUCAUGCU